rnacentral:sRNA from 1 species
CCACAAGAAGUUUAUUUCGUUUUAUUCUGUGUAGCCUGGCACAAGUUUUCAAAUAUUCCUACCGCAGUAUUUCCUACUGCUCUCAACCACUAACCAACCAACCGUAUAGGAAGGAAGUAGGAUCGCCGGGCUAUUGACCAUCGAAGGGGUACCAUUAUCAGCUACCCUCUACACUGGGGAUACGCGAUCAUUCGUCCGCCAACGGGAGAAAAUGUACGGAAUCUAAGGGCUCAAUUCCGUUUUGCGGGCGGUACAAAAAAGGAUGUGACGCAAGCAGUAGCAGUCAACAUACAUACGUCUAGACCAGCGAGAAACACAGGUGACUCUGUUGGUGCUCCCAACGGUACUCGACGAUACGUUUAGGGACGACCCUUCCCUGACAACAUCCUCUGCGACAAUUCCUUUGAAAAACCCACGACUACGACUAGACUACGGAAAUACCCACCAGGACUACUAAGAUAAGGCCAAGGACAAAAAAAAACACCAGCAUCGCCCCAUGCAACGACAAUCAUCAUCCUGCGUCCGCCGUACUCGAAGGGACCAAUCGGGCCAAGAGAGACGACCUCGAAACCAGCGCCCAAUGGACUAUCAGCUAGCGGGCUGGGCAGAGGCUCCACCAGACUGGCGGACCAAUACUCCCGGCCGACAGUUAUUCGUCGCCAAAUCGCCAAAGUAACGGUGUACUUACGCGAUCCCACGUCCCCAUUGGGAGUUCAACUACUGGAGAUGCACGGCGACGACAGCUUCAGAAUAGAGAUCACUCGAAACCGGGCCACCACAGUUAAUGCCCUCCCCCCAUCGAAGUGAAGAGGUAUAAGGACCACCCUGGUCUACUACCCGAUUCUUCCGGGUAAAUUUGGUUUAAGCGUUUGAGGGCUGCCGUUUGCCGGGGCAGCGGAGAACAGCUUGCUGCGUAAGGGAGGAAGACCAGGAGUUCGGUGCAAACCUUCCGUGUCCACAUUUUUUUGGGGAAUAUAUACGUAGCCUUUUGCUUUAUCCUGCUCUUAAAUAAUCACUUAAAAAUGAAUGCUUGGUAAAUCUUUUAAAAAAUGCAUUAAUUUGUCUAAUAAAAUUGUAUGAUCAGUGGA